rnacentral:lncRNA from 1 species
CCUCGCUAAAAGGAACCUAAUGGAUCGUACACCGUGUAAGGUGGAGAUUGAAGAAACAAUGGAGAUGAAUAAGAAUAAUUAAAUGGUUUAAUUAUUUAUGGCAAUGAUUAAUUAAUAUGUUAAUUAAUCAAACGAAUAAGUUCGUUAAAGACCUCGGGAUAGUUUUGGACCUUAAGGCCCAAUGGGCUUCGAACGUCAAGCCUAUUGACUUAAGUUGUAUGACAACUUAAUGAAUAAUGAUUCACAA